rnacentral:rRNA from 1 species
CUGUCUGAAUAUGGGGGGACCAUCCUCCAAGGCUAAAUACUCCUGACUGACCGAUAGUGAACCAGUACCGUGAGGGAAAGGCGAAAAGAACCCCGGCGAGGGGAGUGAAAAAGAACCUGAAACCGUGUACGUACAAGCAGUGGGAGCACGCUUAGGCGUGUGACUGCGUACCUUUUGUAUAAUGGGUCAGCGACUUAUAUUCUGUAGCAAGGUUAACCGAAUAGGGGAGCCGAAGGGAAACCGAGUCUUAACUGGGCGUUAAGUUGCAGGGUAUAGACCCGAAACCCGGUGAUCUAGCCAUGGGCAGGUUGAAGGUUGGGUAACACUAACUGGAGGACCGAACCGACUAAUGUUGAAAAAUUAGCGGAUGACUUGUGGCUGGGGGUGAAAGGCCAAUCAAACCGGGAGAUAGCUGGUUCUCCCCGAAAGCUAUUUAGGUAGCGCCUCGUGAAUUCAUCUCCGGGGGUAGAGCACUGUUUCGGCAAGGGGGUCAUCCCGACUUACCAACCCGAUGCAAACUGCGAAUACCGGAGAAUGUUAUCACGGGAGACACACGGCGGGUGCUAACGUCCGUCGUGAAGAGGGAAACAACCCAGACCGCCAGCUAAGGUCCCAAAGUCAUGGUUAAGUGGGAAACGAUGUGGGAAGGCCCAGACAGCCAGGAUGUUGGCUUAGAAGCAGCCAUCAUUUAAAGAAAGCGUAAUAGCUCACUGGUCGAGUCGGCCUGCGCGGAAGAUGUAACGGGGCUAAACCAUGCACCGAAGCUGCGGCAGCGACGCUGAUGCGUUGUUGGGUAGGGGAGCGUUCUGUAAGCCUGUGAAGGUGUGCUGUGAGGCAUGCUGGAGGUAUCAGAAGUGCGAAUGCUGACAUAAGUAACGAUAAAGCGGGUGAAAAGCCCGCUCGCCGGAAGACCAAGGGUUCCUGUCCAACGUUAAUCGGGGCAGGGUGAGUCGACCCCUAAGGCGAGGCCGAAAGGCGUAGUCGAUGGGAAACAGGUUAAUAUUCCUGUACUUGGUGUUACUGCGAAGGGGGGACGGAGAAGGCUAUGUUGGCCGGGCGACGGUUGUCCCGGUUUAAGCGUGUAGGCUGGUUUUCCAGGCAAAUCCGGAAAAUCAAGGCUGAGGCGUGAUGACGAGGCACUACGGUGCUGAAGCAACAAAUGCCCUGCUUCCAGGAAAAGCCUCUAAGCAUCAGGUAACAUCAAAUCGUACCCCAAACCGACACAGGUGGUCAGGUAGAGAAUACCAAGGCGCUUGAGAGAACUCGGGUGAAGGAACUAGGCAAAAUGGUGCCGUAACUUCGGGAGAAGG